rnacentral:lncRNA from 1 species
UAUACCUCUGUCGGUGGCAGUGCACCGGUACUUGGAAAACACAGAUAUUAAAAAAGAACAUGCAUUCACAGACAGGUAGACUGCCUGUAUCAGGAAGUAUCACAGGUAGACUGUAGACUGCAUGUAUCAGGUAGUACCACAGGUAGACUGUAUACUGCAUGUAUCAGGUAGUGUUCACAGGUAGACUGUCGUCUGCAAGUAUCAGGUUAGUUGUUCACAGGUAGACUGUAGACUGCAUGUAUCAGGUAGUGUUCACAGGUAGACUGUAGAUGCUGUAUCAGGUAGUAUCACAGGUAGACUGUAGACUGCAGUAUCAGUAGUCACGGUAGACUGUAGAUUGCAUGUAUCAGGUAGUAUCACAGGUAGACUGCAUGUAUCAGGUAGUAUCACAGGUAGACUGUAGACUGCAUGUAUCAGGUAGUAUCACAGGUAGACUGUAGACUGCAUGUAUCAGGUAGUGUCACAGGUAGACUGUAGACUGCAUG